UAGACCCCAAAAAAAUGAAAAAUAAAAAAUAUAUAUUUGGGGUGUUUGGUCUUCCUGAAGGUAAUACCCGGGUAUUAAGAUUUGGGGCUAGGGUAAGGUUUAAGGUUUUGGCGUUAGGGUUAAAAUCACUGUCCAAAACCUUUUUAGGAACUCUUUUCCAACCUUUUGGAGUUUGUUAGACCAAAAAAACAUGAAAAAUGAAAAAAAAAUAUUUGGGUUGUUCAGGCUUCCUGAAGGUAAUACCCAGGUAUUAGGUUGUGGGGCUAGGGUAAGGUUGAAGGUUUUUGGCGUUAGGGCUAAAAUCACUGUCCAAAACAUUUGUAGGAACUCUUUUCCAUCCUUUUGGAAUUAGUAAGACCAAAUAAAAAUGAAAAAUAAAAAAUAUAUAUUUGGGGUGUUUGGGCUUCCUGAGGGUAAUACCCGGGUAUUAGGUUAUGGGGCUAGGGGAAGGUUUAAGGUUUUUGGCGUUGGGUUAAAAUCACUGUCCAAAACCUUUUUAGGAACUCUUCCAACCUUUUGGAGUUUGUUAGACCAAAAAAACAUGAAAAAUGAAAAAAAAAUAUUUGGGUUGUUUGGGCUUCCUGAGGGUAAUCCCUGGGUAUUAGGUUAUGGGGCUAGGGGAAGGUUUAAGGUUUUUGGCGUUAGGUUAAAAUCACUGUCCAAAACCUUUGUAGGAACUCUUUUCCAAACUUUUGGAGUUAGUUAGACCAAAAAAUAAUGAAAAAUGAAAAAAAAAAAUUUGGGGUGUUCGGGCUUCCUGAAGCUGAUACCCGGGUAUUAAGAUUUGGGGCUAGGGUUUGGUUUAAGGUUUUUAACGUUAGGGUUUUAAUCACUGUCCAAAACCUUUGUAGGAACUAUUUUCUAACCUUUUGGAGUUUGUUAGAACAAAAAAACAUGAAAAAUGAAAAAAAAAUAUUUGGGUUGUUCGGGCUUCCUGAAGGUAAUACCCAGGUAUUAGGUUGUGGGGCUAGGGUAAGGUUGAAGGUUUUUGGCGUUAGGGCUAAAAUCACUGUCCAAAACAUUUGUAGGAACUCUUUUCCAUCCUUUUGGAAUUAGUAAGACCAAAUAAAAAUGAAAAAUAAAAAAUAUAUAUUUGGGGUGUUUGGGCUUCCUGAGGGUAAUACCCGGGUAUUAGGUUAUGGGGCUAGGGGAAGGUUUAAGGUUUUUGGCGUUGGGUUAAAAUCACUGUCCAAAACCUUUUUAGGAACUCUUUUCCAACCUUUUGGAGUUUGUUAGACCAAAAAAACAUGAAAAAUGGAAAAAAAAUAUUUGGGGUGUUCGGGCUUCCUGAAGGUACUACCCGGGUAUUUGGUUUUGGGGCUUUGGAAAGGUUCAAGUUUUUUGGGGAUAGGGUUAAAAUCACUGUCCAAAACCUUUUUAGGAACUCUUUUCCAACCUUUUGGAGUUAGUUAGACCAAAAAAAAAAGGAAAAAUGAAAAAAAAAUAUUUGGGGUGUUCGGGCUUCCUGAAGAUAACACCCGGGUAUAAGGAUUUGGGGCUAGGGUAAGGUUUAAGUAGUUUGGCGAUAGGGUUAAAAUCACUGUCCAAAACCUUUGUAGGAACUUUUUUCCAACCUUUUGGAGUUAGUUAGACCCCAAAAAAAUGAAAAAUGAAAAAAAAUAUUUGGGGUUUUUGGGCUUCCUGAAGGUAAUACCCGGGUAUAAGGUUUUGGGGCUAGGGUAAGGUUUAAGUUGUUUGGCGAUAGAGUUAAAAUCACUCUCCAAAACCUUUGUAGGAACUCUUUUCCAACCUUUUGGAGUUAGUUAGACCAAAAAAUAAUGAAAAAUGAAAAAAAAAAAUUUGGGGUGUUCGGGCUUCCUGAAGCUGAUACCCGGGUAUUAAGAUUUGGGGCUAGGGUUUGGUUUAAGGUUUUUAACGUUAGGGUUUUAAUCACUGUCCAAAACCUUUGUAGGAACUAUUUUCUAAGCUUUUGGAGUUUGUUAGACCAAAAAAACAUGAAAAAUGAAAAAAAAAUAUUUGGGUUGUUUGGGCUUCCUGAAGGUAAUACCCGGGUAUUAGGUUGUGGGGCUAGGGUAAGGUUGAAGGUUUUUGGCGUUAGGGCUAAAAUCACUGUCCAAAACAUUUGUAGGAACUCUUUUCCAACCUUUUGGAAUUAGUUAGACCAAAUAAAAAUGAAAAAUAAAAAAUAUAUAUGUGGGGUUUUUGGGCUUCCUGAAGGUAAUACCCGGGUAUUUGGUUUUGGGGCUUUGGAAGGGUUUAAGUUUUUUGGGGAUAGGGUUAAAAUCACUGUCCAAAACCUUUUUAGGAACUCUUUUCCAACCUUUUGGAGUUAGUUAGACCAAAAAAAAAAUGAAAAAUGAAAAAAAAAUAUUUGGGGUGUUCGGGCUUCCUGAAGACAAUACCCGGGUAUAAGGAUUUGGGGCUAGGGUAAGGUUUAAGUAGUUUGGCGAUAGGGUUAAAAUCACUGUCCAAAACCUUUGUAGGAACUUUUUUCCAACCUUUUGGAGUUAGUUAGACCCCAAAAAAAAUGAAAAAAAACAUUUGGGGUUUUCGGGCUUCCUGAUGGUAAUACCCGGGUAUAAGGUUCUGGGGCUAGGGAAAGGUUUAAGGUUUUUGGCGUUAGGUUUAAAAUCACUGUCUAAAACCUUUUUAGGAACAUGUUUCAGACCUUUUGGAGUUAGUUAGAACAAAAAAAAAAAAGAAAAAAAUAUAUAUAUUUGGGGUUUUCGGGCUUCCUGAACGUAAUACCCGGGUAUUAGGUUAUGGUGCUAGGGUAAGGUUUAGUGUUUUUGACGUUAGGGUUAAAAUCACCUUCCAAAACCUUUGUAGGAACUCUUUUCCAACCUUUUGGAGUUAGUUAGACCAAAAAAAAAAAAAAAGAAUGAAAAAAAAAAUAUUUGGGGUUUUUUGGACUUCCUAAAGGUAAUACCCGGGUAUUAGGUCAUGGGGCUAUUGUAAGGUUUAAGGUUUUUGGCGUUAGGGCUAAAAUCACUGUCCAAAACCUUUUUAGGAACAUGUUUCAGACCUUUUGGAGUUGGUAACACCAAAAAAAAAAGAAAAAAAAAUACAUAUAUGGGGUGUUCGUGCUUCCUAAAGGUAAUACCCGGGUAUUAGGUUAUGAGGCUAGGGUAUAGUUUAAGGUUUUUUUGGCGUAAGGGUUAAAAUAACUGUCCAAAACCUUUGUAGGAACAUGUUUCAGACCUUUUGGAGUUAGAUAGACCAAAAAAAAGAUGUAAAAUGAAAAAAAAAUAUUUGGGGUGUUCGGGGUUCCUGAAGGUAAUACCCGGGUAUUCAGUAAUGGGGCUAUUGUAAGGUUUAAGGUUUUGGCCUUAGGGUUAAAAUCACUGUCCAAAACCUUUGUAGGAACUCUUUUCCAAGCUUUUGGAGUUAGUUAGACCAAAAAAAAAACGAAAAAUGAAAAAAAAAUAUUUGGGGUUUUCGGGCUUCCUGAAGGUAAUACCCGUAUUAGGUUAUGGGGCUAUGGAAAGGUUUAAGAUUUUUGGCAUCAGGGUUAAAAUCACUGUCCAAAACCUUUGAAGAACUCUUUUCCAACCUUUGGAGUUAGUUAGACCAAAAAAAAAAAACGAAAAAAAAAAAUAUAUAUAUAUAUUUGGGGUGUUCGGGCUUCCUGAAGGUAAUAUCCGGGUAUUGGGUUAUGAGGCAAGGGUAAGGUUUAAGGUUUUUGGCGUUAGGGUUAAAAUCACUGUCCAAAACCUUUUUAGGAACAUGUUUCAGACCUUUUGGAGUUAGUUAGACCCAAAAAAAAAUGAAAAAUAAAAAAUAUAUAUUUGGGGUGUUUGGUCUUCCUGAAGGUAAUACCCGGGUAUUAAGAUUUGGGGCUAGGGGAAGGUUUAAGGUUUUUGGCGUUGGGUUAAAAUCACUGUCCAAAACCUUUGUAGGAACUCUUUUCCAACCUUUUGGAGUUAGUUAGACCAAAAAAAAAAAAAAAAUGAAAAAAAAAAUAUUUGGGGUUUUCGGGCUUCCUGAAGAUAAUACCGGGUCUCAGGUUAUGGGGCUAGGGAAAGAUUUAAGGUUUUUGGAGUUAGGUUUAAAAUCACUGUCUAAAACCUUUUUAGGAACAUGUUUCAGACCUUUUGGAGUUAGUUAGAACAAAAAAAAAAAUGAAAAAAAAUAUAUAUAUACUUGGGGUGUUUGGUCUUCCUGAAGGUAAUACCCAGGUAUUAGGUUAUGGUGCUAGGGUAAGGUUUAAUGUUUUUGACGUAAGGGUUAAAAUCACCUUCCAAAACCUUUGUAGGAACUCUUUUCCAACCUUUUGGAGUUAGUUAGACCAAAAAAAAAAAAAAAAGAAUGAAAAAAAAAAUAUUUGGGGUUUUUUGGGCUUCUUAAAGGUAAUACCCGGGUAUUAGGUCAUGGGGCUAUUGUAAGGUUUAAGGUUUUUGGCGUAACGGUUAAAAUCAGUGUCCAAAACCUUUUUAGGAACAUGUUUCAGACCUUUUGGAGUUAGUUAGACCCAAAAAAAAUGAAAAAUAAAAAAAAUAUAUUUGGGGUGUUUGGUCUUCCUGAAGGUAAUACCCGGGUAUUAAGAUUUGGGGCUAGGGUAAGGUUUAAGGUUUUGGCGUUAGGGUUAAAAUCACUGUCCAAAACCUUUGUAUGAAAUCUUUGCCAACAUUUUGGAGUUAGUAAGACCAAAAAAUAAUGAAAAAUGAAAAAAAAAAUUGGGGUGUUCGGGCUUCCUGAAGCUGAUACCCGGGUAUUAAGAUUUGGGGCUAGGGUUUGGUUUAAGGUUUUUAACGUUAGGGUUUUAAUCACUGUCCAAAACCUUUGUAGGAACUAUUUUCGAAGCUUUUGGAGUUUGUUAGACCAAAAAAGCAUGAAAAAUGAAAAAAAAAUAUUUGGGUUGUUCGGGCUUCCUGAAGGUAAUACCCAGGUAUUAAGAUUUGGGGCUAGGGUUUGGUUUAAGGUUUUUGGCGUUAGGGUUUUAAUCACUGUCCAAAACAUUUGUAGGAACUCUUUUCCAACCUUUUGGAGUUAGUUAGACCAAAAAAAACAUGAAAAAUGAAAAAAAAAAUAUUUGGGUUGUUCGGGCUUCCUGAAGGUAAUACCCAGGUAUUAGGUUGUGGGGCUAGGGUAAGGUUGAAGGUUUUUGGCGAUAGGGCUAAAAUCACUGUCCAAAACAUUUGUAGGAACUCUUUUCCAACCUUUUGGAAUUAGUUGGACCAAAUAAAAAUGAAAAAUAAAAAAUAUAUAUUUGGGGUUUGUGGGCUUCCUGAGGGUAAUACCCGGGGAUUAGGUUAUGGGGCUAGGGGAAGGUUUAAGGUUUUUGGCGUUAGGGCUAAAAUCACUGUCCAAAACCUUUUUAGGAACUCUUUUCCAACCUUUUGUAGUUAGUAAGACCAAAAAAAAAUGAAAAAUGAAAAAAAAAUAUUUGGGGUGUUCGGGCUUCCUGAAGACAAUACCCGGGUAUAAGGAUUUGGGGCUAGGGUAAGGUUUAAGUAGUUUGGCGAUAGGGUUAAAAUCACUGUCCAAAACCUUUGUAGGAACUUUUUUCCAACCUUUUGGAGUUAGUUAGACCCCAAAAAAAUGAAAAAUGAAAAAAAAAUAUUUGGGGUUUUCGGGCUUCCUGAACGUAAUACCCGGGUAUUAGGUUAUGGUGCUAGGGUAAGGUUUAAUGUUUUUGACGUAAGGGUUAAAAUCACCUUCCAAAACCUUUGUAGGAACUCUUUUCCAACCUUUUGGAGUUAGUUAGACCAAAAAAAAAAAAAAAUGAAAAAAAAAAUAUUUGGGGUUUUCGGGCUUCCUGAACAUAAUACCGGGUCUCAGGUUAUGGGGCUAGGGAAAGGUUUAAGGUUUUUGGCGUUAGGUUUAAAAUCACUGUCUAAAACCUUUUUAGGAACAUGUUUCAGACCUUUUGGAGUUAGUUAGAACAAAAAAAAAAUGAAAAAAAAAAAAUAUAUAUAUUUGGGGUUUUCGGGCUUCCUGAACGUAAUACCCGGGUAUUAGGUUAUGGUGCUAGGGUAAGGUUUAAUGUUUUUGACGUUAGGGUUAAAAUCACCUUCCAAAACCUUUGUAGGAACUCUUUUCCAACCUUUUGGAGUUAGUUAGACCGAAAAAAAAAAAAAUGAAAAAAAAAAUAUUUGGGGUUUUUUGGGCUUCCUAAAGGUAAUACCCGGGUAUUAGGUCAUGGGGCUAUUGUAAGGUUUAAGGUUUUUGGCGUUAGGGUUAAAAUCACUGUCCAAAACCUUUUUAGGAACAUGUUUCAGACCUUUGGAGUUAGUUAGAACAAAAAAAAAAAAUGAAAAAAAAUAUAUAUAUAUUUGGGGUUUUCGGGCUUCCUGAACGUAAUACCCGGGUAUUAGGUUAUGGUGCUAGGGUAAGGUUGAAGGUUUUUGGCGUUAGGGUUAAAAUCACUGUCCAAAACCUUUGUAGGAACUAUUUUCGAAGCUUUUGGAGUUUGUUAGACCAAAAAAACAUGAAAAAUGAAAAAAAAAUAUUUGGGUUGUUCGGGCUUCCUGAAGGUAAUACCCAGGUAUUAGGUUGUGGGGCUAGGGUAAGGUUGAAGGUUUUUGGCGUUAGGGCUAAAAUCACUGUCCAAAACAUUUGUAGGAACUCUUUUCCAACCUUUUGGAGUUAGUUAGACCAAAUAAAAAUGAAAAAUAAAAAAUAUAUAUUUGGGGUGUUUGGGCUUCCUGAGGGUAAUACCCGGGUCUCAGGUUAUGGGGCUAGGGAAAGGUUUAAGGUUUUCGGCGUUAGGUUUAAAAUCACUGUCUAAAACCUUUUUAGGAACAUGUUUCAGACCUUUUGGAGUUAGUUAGAACAAAAAAAAAAUAUAUAUAUUUGUGGUGUUCGGGCUUCCUGAAGACAAUACCCGGGUAUAAGGAUUUGGGGCUAGGGUAAGGCUUAAGUAGUUUGGCGAUAGGGUUAAAAUCACUGUCCAAAACCUUUGUAGGAACUUUUUUCCAACCUUUUGGAGUUAGUUAGACCCCAAAAAAACAUGAAAAAUGAAAAAAAAAUUUUGGGGUUUUCGGGCUUCCUGAAGGUAAUACCCGGGUAUCAGGUUUUGGGGCUAGGGUAAGGUUUAAGUUGUUUGGCGAUAGAGUUAAAAUCACUGUCCAAAACCUUUGUAGGAACUCUUUUCCAACCUUUUGGAGUUAGUUAGACCAAAAAAAAAAAAAAAAUGAAAAAAAAAUAUUUGGGGUUUUCGGGCUUCCUGAAGAUAAUACCGGGUCUCAGGUUAUGGGGCUAGGGAAAGGUUUAAGGUUUUUGGCGUUAGGUUUAAAAUCACUGUCUAAAACCUUUUUAGGAACAUGUUUCAGACCUUUUGGAGUUAGUUAGAACCAAAAAAAUAUAUAUAUAUUUGAAGUUUUCGGGCUUCCUGAACGUAAUACCCGGGUAUUAGGUUAUGGUGCUAGGGUAAGGUUUAAUGUUUUUGACGUUAGGGUUAAAAUCACCUUCCAAAAAAAAAAAAGAAUGAAAAAAAAAAUAUUUUUGGGUUUUUUGGGCUUCCUAAAGGCAGGUUAUGGGGCUAUGGUAAGGUUUAAGUUUAUUGGCGUUAGGGUUAAAAUCACUGUGCAAAACCUUUGUAGGAACUCUUUUCCAACCUUUUGGAGAUAGUUUCACCAAAAAAAAAAGGAAAAUAAAAAAUAAUAUUUGGGGUUUUCGGGAUUCCUGAAGGUAAUACCCGGUUAUUAGGUUAUGGGGCUAGGGAAAGGUUCAAGGUUUUUGGCGUGAGGGUUAAUAUCACUGUCAUAAACCUUUGUAGGAACUCUUUUCCAACCUUUUGGAGUUAGUUAGACAAAAAAAAAAUGUAAAAUGAAAAAAAUAUAUUUUGUGUGUUCGGGCUUCCUGAAGGUAAUACCCGGGGAUUAGGUUAUGGGGCUAUGGUGAGAUUUAAGGUUUUUGGCAUUAGGGUUAAAAUCAAUGUCCAAAAACUUUUUAGGAACAUGUUUCAGACCUUUUGGAUUUGGUUCCACCAAAAAAAAGUGAAAUAAAAAAAAAUUAUUUGGGGUUUUCGGGCUUCCUUAAGGUAUUAGGUUAUGGGGCUACAGUAAGGUUUAAGGUUUUUGGCGUUAGGGUUAAAAUCACUGUCCAAAACUUUUGUAGGAACUCUUUUCCAACCUUUUAGAGUUAGUGUCACAAAAAAAAAAAAAAGAAAAAAAAAAUUUGGGGUUUUCAGGCUUCCUGAAGGUAAUACCCGGGUAUCAGGUUGUGGGGCUAGGAAAAGGUUCAAGGUUUUUGGCGUUAGGUUUAAAAUCACUGUCCAAAACCUAUUUAGGAACAUGUUUCAGACCUUUUGGAGUUAGUUAGACCCAAAAAAAAAGUGAAAUAAAAAAAAAUUAUUUGGGGUUUUCGGGCUUCCUUAAGGUAUCAGGUUGUGGGGCUAGGGUAAGGUUUAAGGUUUUUGGCGUUCGGUUUAAAAUCACUGUCCAAAACCUUUGUAGGAACUAUUUUCCAAGCUUUUGGAGUUACUUAGACCAAAAAAAAAAAAAAAAAAAAAAAAUUGGGGUGUUCGGGCUUCCUGAAGGUAAUACCCGGGUAUAAGGAUUUGGGGCUAGGGUAAGGUUUAAGUUGUUUGGCGUUAGGGUUAAAAUCAGUGUCCAAAACCUUUUUAGGAACUCUUUUCCAACCUUUUGGAGUUAGUUAGACCAAAAAAAUGAAAAAUGAAAAAAGAAAUUUUGGGUGUUCGGGCUUCCUGAAGGUAAUACCCAGGUAUUAGGUUAUGGGGCUAUGGUAAGGUUUAAGGUUUUUGGCGUUAGGGUUAAAAUCACUGUCCAAAACCUUUGUAGGAACUCUUUUCCAACCUCUUGGAGUUAGUUAGACCAAAAAAAAAAGAAAAAUGAAAAAAAUUAUUUGGGGUUUUUGGGCUUCCUGAAGGUAAUACCCGGUUAUUAGGUUUUGGGGCCUUGGAAAGGUUUAAGUUUUUUGGCGUUAGGGUAAAAAUAACUGUCCAAAUCUUUUUAGGAACCUGUUUCAGACCUUUUGGAGUUGGUAACAAAAAAAAAUGUAAAAUGAAAAAAAUUAUUUGGGGUGUUCGGGCUUCCUGAAGGUAAUACCCGGGUAUUAGGUUAUGGGGCUAUGGUAAGGUUUAAGCUGUUUGGCGCUAGGGUUAAAAUCAGUGUCCAAAACCUUUGUAGGAACUCUUUUCCAACCUUUUGGAGUUAGAUAGACCAAAAAAAAUGAAAAAUGAAAAAAAAAUAUUUGGGGUUUUCGGGCUUCCUGAAGGUAAUACCCGGGUAUUAGGUUUUGGGGCUAGGGUAAGGUUUAAGUUGUUUGGCGAUAGGGUUAAAAUCACUGUCCAAAACCUUUGUAGGAACUCUUUUCUAACCUUUUGGAGUUAUUAAGACCAAAAAAAAAAGAAAAAUAAAAAAUAUAUAUUUGGGGUGUUCAGGCUUCCUGAAGGUAAUACCCGGUUAUUAGGUUAUGGGGCUAUGGUAAGGUUUAAGGUUUUUGGUUUUAGGGUUAAAAUCAAUGUCCGAAACCUUUUUAGGAAUAUGUUUCAGACCUUUUGGAGUUAAUUAGACCAAAAAAUAAUAAAAAAUGAAAAAAAAAUAUUUGGGGUUUUCGGGCUUCCUGAAGGUAAUAAUAAUAAUAAUGCAUCAGAUUUCAUAUAGCGCUUUAUCAGAGACCCUCAAAGCGCUUUACAUUGGAUACAUCAUUCAUUCGCUCACACAGUCAGACUUUGGUGGUGGUGGAAACGUGGCUGCCAUUCUGCGCCUACGGCCUCUCCAACCACCACCACACAACACUCACAAUCAUACACCAGUGGAGGACACACACUGGGAGCAAGGUGGGUUAAGUGUCUUGCCCAAGGACACAACGGACAGACUUAGAUUAGGGGGGAAUCGAACCGCCAACCUUCCGGUUAUUGGACGACCGCUCUACCUCCUGAGCUACUGCCGAGCCAGUAGCCCGGGUAUUAGUUUAUGGGGCUAGGGUAAGGUUUAAGGUUUUUGGUGUUAGGGUUAAAAUCACUGUCCAAAACCUUUUUAGGAACAUGUUUCAGACCUUUUGGAGUUGGUUACACCAUAAAAAAAAAAGAAAAAUAAAUAAAAAAUAUUUGGGGUGUUCGGGCUUCCUGAAGGUAGGUUAUGGGGCUAUGGUAAGAUUUAAGGUUUUUGGCGUUAUGGUUAAAUUCACCGUCCAAAACCUUUUUAGGAACAUGUUUCAGACCUUUUGGAGUUGGUUACACCAAAAAAAAAUGAAAAAUGAAAAAAAUGUAUUUUGGGGUGUUCGGGCUUCCUGAAGGUAGGUUAUGGGGCUAUGGUAAGAUUUAAGGUUUUUUGAUUUAGGGUUAAAAUCACUGUCCAAAACCUUUGUAGGAACAUGUUUCAGACCUUUUGGAGUUGGUUACACCAAAAAAAAUGUAAAAUGAAAAAAAAAUAUUUGGGGUGUUUUCGGGCUUCCUGAAGGUAAUACCCGGGUAUUAGUUUUUGGGGCUAUGGUAAGGUUUAAGUUUAUUGGCGUUAGGGUUAAAAUCACUGUGCAAAACCUUUGUAGGAACUCUUUUCCAACCUUUUGGAGAUAGUUUCACCAAAAAAAAAAGGAAAAUAAAAAAUAAUAUUUGGGGUUUUCGGGAUUCCUGAAGGUAAUACCCGGUUAUUAGGUUAUGGGGCUAGGGAAAGGUUCAAGGUUUUUGGCGUGAGGGUUAAAAUCACUGUCCAAAACUUUUGUAGGAACUCUUUUCCAACCUUUUAGAGUUAGUGUCACAAAAAAAAAAGAAAAAAGAAAAAAAAAUAUUUGGGGUUUUCAGGCUUCCUGAAGGUAAUACCCGGGUAUCAGGUUGUGAGGCUAGGAAAAGGUUCAAGGUUUUUGGCGUUAGGUUUAAAAUCACUGUCCAAAACCUAUUUAGGAACAUGUUUCAGACCUUUUGGAGUUAGUUAGACCCAAAAAAAAAAGCAAAAAUAAAAAAAAAUCUUUGGGGUUUUCGGGCUUCCUGAAGGUAAUACCCGGUGAUUAGGUUAUGGGGCUAUGGUAAGGUUUAAGGUUUUUGGUGUUAGGGUUAAAAUCACUGUCCAAAACCUUUGUAGGAACUCUUUUCCAACCUUUUGGAGUUAGUUAGACCAAAAAAAAGAAAAAUGAAAAAAAAAUAUUUGGGGUUUUCGGGCUUCCUGAAGGUAAUACCCGGGUAUCAGGUUGUGGGGCUUGGGAAAGGUUCAAGGUUUUUGGCGUUAGGUUUAAAAUCACUGUCCAAAACCUAUUUAGGAACAUGUUUCAGACCUUUUGGAGUUAGUUAGACCAAAAAAAAAAAGCAAAAAUAAAAAAAAAUAUUUUGUGUGUUCGGGCUUCCUGAAGGUAAUACCCGGGGAUUAGGUUAUGGGGCUAUGGUGAGAUUUAAGGUUUUUGGCAUUAGGGUUAAAAUCAAUAUCCAAAAACUUUUUAGGAACAUGUUUCAGACCUUUUGGAUUUGGUUCCACCAAAAAAAAAGUGAAAUAAAAAAAAAUUAUUUGGGGUUUUCGGGCUUCCUUAAGGUAUUAGGUUAUGGGGCUACGGUAAGGUUUAAGGUUUUUGGCGUUAGGGUUAAAAUCACUGUCCAAAACCUUUGUAGGAACUCUUUUCCAACCUUUUAGAGUUAGUGUCACCAAAAAAAAAAAGAAAAAAGAAAAAAAAUAUUUGGGGUUUUCAGGCUUCCUGAAGGUAAUACCCGGGUAUCAGGUUGUGGGGCUAGGAAAAGGUUCAAGGUUUUUGGCGUUAGGUUUAAAAUCACUGUCCAAAACCUAUUUAGGAACAUGUUUCAGACCUUUUGGAGUUAGUUAGACCAAAGAAAAAAAGCAAAAAUAAAAAAAAAGAUUUGGGGUUUUCGGGCUUCCUGAAGGUAAUACCUGGGGAUUAGGUUAUGGGGCUAGGGGAAGGUUUAAGGUUUUUGGCGUGAGCGUUAAAAUCACGGUCCAAAACCUUUGUAGGAACUCUUUUCAGACCUUUUGGAGUUAGUUAGACCAAAAAAAUGAAAAAUGAAAAAAGAAAUUUGGGGUGUUCGGGCUUCCUGAAGGUAAUACCCAGGUAAUAGGUUAUGGGGCUAUGGUAAGGUUUAAGGUUUUUGGCGUUAGGGUUAAAAUCACUGUCCAAAACCUUUGUAGGAACUCUUUUCCAACCUCUUGGAGUUAGUUAGACCAAAAAAAAAAAGAAAAAUGAAAAAAAUUAUUUGGCGUUUUCGGGCUUCCUGAAGGUAAUACCCGGGUAUUAAGAUUUGGGGCUAGGGUUCGGUUUAAGGUUUUUGGCGUUAGGGAUAAAAUCACUGUCCAAAAUCUUUUUAGGAACCUGUUUCAGACCUUUUGGAGUUGGUAACAAAAAAAAAUGUAAAAUGAAAAAAAUUAUUUGGGGUGUUCGGGCUUCCUGAAGGUAAUACCCGGGUAUUAGGUUAUGGGGCUAUGGUAAGGUUUAAGGUUUUUGGCGUUAGGGUUAAAAUCAGUGUCCAAAACCUUUGUAGGAACUAUUUUCCAAGCUUUUGGAGUUAGUUAGACCAAAAAAAUGAAAAAUGAAAAAAGAAAUUUGGGGUGUUCGGGCUUCCUGAAGGUAAUACCCAGGUAUUAGGUUAUGGGGCUAUGGUAAGGUUUAAGGUUUUUGGCGUUAGGGUUAAAAUCAGUGUCCAAAACCUUUGUAGGAACUAUUUUCCAAGCUUUUGGAGUUAGUUAGACCAAAAAAAAAAGAAAAAUGAAAAAAAAAUAUUUGGGGUUUUCGGGCUUCCUGAAGGUAAUACCCGGGUAUUAGGUUAUGGGGCUAGGGUAAGGUUUAAGGUUUUUGGCGUUAGGGUUAAAAUCACUGUCCAAAACCUUUGUAGGAACUCUUUUCCAACCUUUUGGAGUCAGUUAGACAAAAAAAAAAAAAAAAAAGAAAAAUGAUUAAACAUUUUUUGGGGUGUUUAGGCUUCCUUAAGGUAAUGCCUUAAGGUAAUAGUAUUAGGUUAUGGGGCUAGGGUAACGUUAAAGGUUUUAGCAUUAGGGUUAAUAUCACUGUAUAAUAUUUUUAAGGAACAUGUUUCAGACCUUUUGGAGUUAGUAAGACCAAAAAAAAAUGAAAAAAAAAUGUUUGGGGUGUUAAGGUUUCCUUAAGGUAAUACCCGGGAAUUAGGUUGCAGGGCUAGGUACAGGUUAAAGGUUUUUGGCGUCUGGGUUAAAAUCACUGUCCAAAACCUUUAUAGGAACAAGUGUCAGACCUUUUGGAGUUAGUUAGACCAAAAAAUAAAAGAAAAAUGAAAAAAAUAUAUUUGUGGUUUUCGGGCUUCCUGAAGGUAAAACCCGGGUGUUAGGUUAGGGGGCUAGGGUAUGGUUUAAGGUUUUUGGCAUUAGGGUUAAAAUUACUGUCCAAAACCUUUGUAGGAACUCUUUUCCAACCUUUUGGAGUCAGUUAGACAAAAAAAAAAAAAAAAAGAAAAAUGAUUAAACAUUUUUUGGGGUGUUUAGGCUUCCUUAAGGUAAUGCCUUAAGUUAAUAGUAUUAGGUUAUGGGGCUAGGGUAACGUUAAAGGUUUUAGCAUUAGGGUUAAUAUCACUGUAUAAUAUUUUUAAGGAACAUGUUUCAGACCUUUUGGAGUUACUUAGACCAAAAAAAAAUGAAAAUAAAAAUUUGGUGCGGUAGGGCAUCCUGAAGGUGAUACCCGGGUAUUAGGUUACAGGGCAAGGUAAAGGUCAAAGGUUUUUGGCGUUAGGGUUUAAAUCACUGUCCAAAACCUUUUUAGGAACUCUUUUCCAACCUUUUGGAGUUGUUUACACCAAAAAAAAAUGUAAAAUGAAAAAAAAAAUAUACGGGGUGUUAGGGCUUCCUGAAGGUAAUACUCGGGUAUUAGGUUAUGGGGCUAUGGGAAGGGUUAAGGUUUUUGGCGUUAGGGUUAAAAUCACUGUCCAAAACCUUUGUAGGAACUCUUUUCCAACCUUUUGGAGUUUGUUAGACAAAAAAAAGUAAAAUGAAAAAAAAAUAUUUCGGGUGUUCGGGCUUCCUGAAGGUAAUACCCAGGUAUUAGGUUAUGGGGCUAGCGUAAGGUUUAAGGUUUUUGGCGUGAGCGUUAAAAUCACUGUCCAAUAUUUUUUCGGAACAUUUUGAAGACCUUUUUGAGUUAGUUAGACUAAAAAAAAUGUAAAAUGAUUAAAAAAAAUUUGGGGUUGUAGGGCUUCCUUUUGUUAAUACCCAGGUAUUAGGUUAUGGGGAUAGGUAAAGGUUAAAGGUUUUUGGCGUUAGGUUUAAAAUCACUGUCCAAAACCUAUUUAGGAACAUGUUUCAGACCUUUUGGAGUUAGUUAGACCAAAGAAAAAAAGCAAAAAUAAAAAAAAAGAUUUGGGGUUUUCGGGCUUCCUGAAGGUAAUACCUGGGGAUUAGGUUAUGGGGCUAGGGGAAGGUUUAAGGUUUUUGGCGUGAGCGUUAAAAUCACGGUCCAAAACCUUUGUAGGAACUCUUUUCAGACCUUUUGGAGUUAGUUAGACCAAAAAAAUGAAAAAUGAAAAAAGAAAUUUGGGGUGUUCGGGCUUCCUGAAGGUAAUACCCAGGUAAUAGGUUAUGGGGCUAUGGUAAGGUUUAAGGUUUUUGGCGUUAGGGUUAAAAUCACUGUCCAAAACCUUUGUAGGAACUCUUUUCCAACCUCUUGGAGUUAGUUAGACCAAAAAAAAAAAGAAAAAUGAAAAAAAUUAUUUGGCGUUUUCGGGCUUCCUGAAGGUAAUACCCGGGUAUUAAGAUUUGGGGCUAGGGUUCGGUUUAAGGUUUUUGGCGUUAGGGAUAAAAUCACUGUCCAAAAUCU
rnacentral:lncRNA from 1 species